GCCAGACGGAGGCCACUGCUGGAUGACUUCGACCUCGCCAUUCUAGGAGUCUGAGCAAAGUCCUCCUUGAAGCCUCAAGAGAGUUGGAGAAACACAUAAAACAAAAGCAGAUUGAUGCAUUUUGAUUUUUGUGUCCAGGAGGAAAGAAAUGUGAGAAGAAUUUUUGACCCCCUGACUGACGGACAAAGAGUUAAGGUGUCCUGAAUCUCCCAGAGAAAAGUAAAGGUAAGAACAGCAGCAGAGCAGAAAGUUAACUACUGGAAGCAGAAACUACGUAGUAACUCUGGAUUUCCUUUCCUUUCAAACAGCAGAAUGUCUUAUUGUUCAGUACGCCUCAAAUGUCACCAUUGUUGACAUUUUAAGUGGUGAGAGCCCUACAGUCAUUUAAACAUAUCUCCCUCACUCUCCAAAAACAUAAUGAAUCUGCGUUUUAUUUCUUCUCACUGGAAGAUUUCUCUCUUCAUUCACGCUCCGUCUGACAAUCCUUUCCUCUGCCAAAUCAUCAGCGCAAUUAAGACACACACCACCAGUUUACAGACGACUGCAAACCCAGCGAGUCCUCAUUGUGUUCAUGAUACAACAUUUCAAUCCAAACAAAAGUAGGCCACGUAAAGGAUGUGCCGUCGACAGAGACUGCGAGCAGCAUACCCAAAGCUUUAUGAAUCUUUUAUCACAUGCGGUGUCCUUACAGGGGUGUCCAGCAAAAUGCCGGCCUGGAAAUAGUUAUAAUAAGCUGAAGUUAUAUGCGUGUACCAAAUGAUAUCAUGACAACACAUCAACCAUGAUGUAAGCAAAGGAAAGUGGAGUAUUUUAAUUGUCAAAAUAGCAUAUAAACAAAAAGUGAAAGUGGGGCCUCACAGGUUGGCAUGUUCAGCCAAAGCUCUUGAAAUGGUUUCCAGCUCUCCUUUGUUGAUGUAUAUUUUGCUUGGAAAUCCUCUAAGAACUAUUUUAAUUGCUCGCUGUUUGUGUAUAUUUUUAUCAGCGAAGUGAAAAAAGGGGCUUUAAGUUGCAUAAAUAUGGAAGGCAAAGUAGGGAAGGAGAGUCUCCUGACACGCCAAUCAGGAUCUGACGUGGGCACACAAUCCACAAAGGUAGACUGUAACAGUAGCUGGUAUAUGGAGCUAAUCUGUGCCUAAAGCAAGACUGGGCAGGCAAAAGAAACAUGUGGUGGAGAGCCAAGCUCAAAUCCCAUCUGACCUUGCCCUUUUCCAGCAGCCAGGAAGAGAUGAAAGGACGUGCUGAUGCCUCUACUGCCCCCAAGAGGUGCCGGCUUCACAAGCAGGAAGUGGAAACAUCUUCAAGGCUAAUCAUCAAACAUAUCACUAAUAGCUGGUGUGUUGCAUAAACUCCACUAAAGCGGAUGUGGCCAGGGUUUAGAGAUUUUGAUUUAUCAGCGGCUACUUUAGUGAUAAUUUACUGUUUUGGGGACAAACGAAGAAUAGAGAAAGGAGGUUAAACACGAUGAAAGUCCCCGGCAGUUUCAUGCAGGAUCCAUUUCUUUAAUUUUUCAUGUCAGUGGAAGUACAGAGCAAGCACUAACCCCUUUGAAAAAAGGCUACCUGUAAAGUCCUUGAGGAAUCCUGAGAAACAGUCCUAAGUGAACUGUAAGGGAAUAUAAAAUGCUCUCUGUCCUUCCUCCUGUGAAGUGAUGGUUCUAACAGAGUUGGAAAAUGCAGCACAAGGGGAUGAUAGAGAGAAGAAAAAUCACAGAGACAAAGACAGUCUCAGCAAGGCUGUCUUUUUUUCCAUUGACAGAAAAACACACAAGUUUGUCGAGAUAGUUUAUAGCGAGCUGCUUCAUCUUUCAGCAGUCAGGGCUGGAAUUAAUAGACCUCUAAACACAGGCAGCUGUAAGUUUUCUAUACUGUGGCUUGUGGCAUUGAGAAUAACAGUUGUUAUUCCAGAUCUGAUGAAACAUCCCUCUACAUUAUGUUACAGCUGCAUUGUUUCAUCUCAAUGAGAACAUGGCAGCAGGCAGACGGUAAGAUAUGUAAACUCAAUGGAAUAAUCAAAUUGUUCUGAGGUGGCUGUGAUAGAAGGUUGUGAUCUUGCAUUUGUUUUGUGUAGAUAUUAAAGGUAUAAAUUUAAUAAAUAUGAGGCUACGCUGACAUAUGAUUGGCAUUUUGUGUGGGUGCUUAUGAAAAAAAAGGGGAUUAAUAAAAAUGUAAGCAAUGUGUGAAGUCAGUAUUCAAACAAAGAGUCUUCGGUGUCACAGCCAACUGUCGUUUGCAAAUGAUUGAUUUGCUUUCUGUUUCUUGACAUGACAGACAACAAGCAUAAGCAGAUUUCUUUCUUCUAGUGAUAUGCAGCAGUUCUCUUAAUACUUUUUCCUGCACCAUGAUGAGUCAGGGUAAAUCUAUACGCUGAAUAUAAAUAAGAUUGUGCCUGCAGAGCUCUGUAGUCUCUAUCUGCUCCUCCUCUCACAGCGGUGCAGACUCUCCACGCUGCAGGACCAGAAAUCUGGGAGCCUGAACUGUCGGUGACCCGAACAGCGAGCAGCUCUUGCUGAAUCUGCUUGCUAUGUGUGUGCGCAGAGGGCUUGUAAGCCUCACCGGGAGCCUGUUUUGCACCACGCUGUCAGAAUACAGCUGCUUUUGAACUUGUCAUGACAACACCUGACAUCACAAGCCUUUUUUUGCUUACUGAUCGAUACUCUUUUGGACCGAAUAUGGCUGCAGAUUCAAUCAUCACCUCGUGUGUGUGCAACAAAGCUUCAAAUGAUACUCUCAGUACCAACAACUGCCGACUGCAUCGCCCAUUAAACAUUUUCAUUUCACAUAUUUUAAUCUCAUAGUUUAUUUUUGGAGAGGAAGAGCUGCAGGUGUUCAGAUGUGCGAAAACAACACGAGCUCAUCUGCUGCUUAUGAUCAUAGCCUUCGUAAUUGUAUAGCUGUCUAAUUAUAUUAACACUUCUAUGCACGUUUAGUUUUAAGUUAGUUACAUGUCUUUAUCAUAAGUGGUAAAUGAUUAGACAAAUUCCUCAUUAGGAUAUCAAACAAUAGCUCUUUACAUUGAAGGUUAUCUUUUACAUUAUUUGCUGAAACAAUGCCGUCUCAACAAUGUAUCAGAAUUCCUCUGCGAUCAUAGACAAGUUAAAGCUUUACAAGGAUAAGAGGCUGAUGAAGAGUUAGUAAUGAACACAAAGACUAUAAUGUCAGCGAUGGUAUGUACUCUCUAAGAUCUGAAAGAGAGAUGGAGGUAAUGAUAAGUGCUUUGAACAUGAAUCCUUUCCUAUUGUGAGCAGGCAACAAAUCCAUUCUAACCAAGCUGCAAACUCUAAUGUUGAAAAAUGAAGCCAAUGGGACAAUGCUCAUCUAUUAUAACUCAUCUGUUCUGAAAAUGCGAAGAAAUCUGCACGAGUAUGAACAAGACUGAGUUGACUUACAGGUGAGUGCAUUACAGCUAUUCGCUGGAAGCUUCACACCUGCCUCAGUUGUCUUGUUGUUGUUUGUUUGUAAAUUGACCAACAGAUCGGUUGAUUUGGCGUUUCCAUUGUGGCGAUCUUUAUCUUUGCUCUCUAUAACAUCUCUUGAAACCAUAUGGUCUUUGAUUCUAAUGCUAUUGGAAAGCUUUGAGAAAAUACAGAUAUGACAUUUCCAGAUGACUCUAUGGACUUGAUUAGUAGUUUCAAGUCUUUCAGGUAUUCUGUCAACUUGAAUAAAAGUGAAGGUCUGCACAUUCGUCUCACUGUUUUUUAAGUGUCUUCUCUCCUUGAAAAUUUGACUGCCAAACAAAGGAAUAGAUAAGUCCAAAAAUCCAAUCCAUCACAAACCAAAGGGAGGCGCCACUGGGGGCUGAGUCCACUUUUCAUUUACCAUGCGAUCCAUGCCUGCAAAUAUCCAAGUCUGUAAAUUGACUGUCUUAAUUCUAACUUCUGUCAGGAAUAACAUGACUUAAACAACUGUGAUCCUACUUAAAAGUUUUAUCAAGGGUCCAAAAGAAAUAGCCAAGAAGAAAAAAUAUCCCAACAAAGAUUAGUUUGACUAUGACCUUGAUCAGCCAAGACAGCAUGCUGGAUUGAAGCACAUUUCUAGUUUUUUAUUGAUACAGUUCGGAAGUCAUAGUCGGAUAUUUGUGGGUUGUGGUGGCUCAGAAGUAGAGUUGGUCAAACUAGUCAAAGCAUCUUUGGGCGGGACAUCAAACCUCAAAUUGCUCCCGAGCUGAGUAUGAUUCCAUUUAAAUGGGAUGAAACAAUACAGAAAGAGACAUGUAAUGUAAAGGCAUUUUAACUGGUUGGAAUAACUAGUACAAUCCGUUAAUCAUUUACUUAUAUGUGUGUAGUUUUAUCAAAAGCAGUCAGUCGUGUUUAUACAGCGUCAGUUCACUACAACUGUAAUCUCUACAUGCUUUACAAAGGGAACAAGUCGGAUCAUUCUUUGUUUGUAUAAUUUACAAAGACCCAACAUCAAGAUAAGAUCCAAUCCCAUCUUAUUUAAGGACUCAGUCUUAUCCCAUCUUCGAGCCGAAUCAGACUCAUGUUGGAACAGCCAUCUGCCGUGACUGUGUCAAGGCUGGAGAGAGAGCGACAGAGGGAGAUGUAGAACAAAGAAAGAGUAGAGAUGAAUAGAGACAGACAACAACAGCAAAGCUCAGGUUUGGUUGGUAUCAAUCUCGCAGCACAGUUGUCUAGAAGAGUCCAUCUCACAAUGUCUGUUAUGGUCUGUUAUGAGACUUUAAAUUAGUGCAACUCCAGAAGACAUGCGUUUUGUUGACCUCAGGAUCACCAGGGCCUGAAAUAUGGUUUCUGGGUGUUUGGCUGUCUGCUCUUGUUUUGUUUUGUCUUGUAGUGUCAUUGAAGCAAGUUAGAUGCCUUCUACACUCAAAGCAAUUUCUUAAGGUUACCAAAGAGCAUGGGAAAGGUUUAUUCCUCCUCUCGGUUGACUUAUUUUUUCUGCUUCAUGUGUUUAUGAAUUUUGUUUUGUAUUUUUGUACCAAUUUGAAGGUUUUCUUACAAUGAACAUAAGCAAUAUCAGGGCAGCUACCGACGCAGUAACAAUAACAGAAAAUAUCUGAGACAAUACAUGGAUUAAAAACACUGAAGCAGAUAAAUUAGCAUUAAUAUUUCCCAUCUAACCCUUUCUUUGAGUGCUUAAUUAGAGCUUGUCAGUUCAAGGUAGCCACAGGUGUCACAGAACAACAAUGGAGGGUUUUUGUUCAGGUACAGACAUUCCUGACACAUUGUUUCGCUUGUCCGAACAGCUCAUUUCUUGCCAAUCUGUGUAUUAUCCUGCAUAGGAGUAUUUGACAGCUCCGCCGCUUUUAAAACUGCGAUUAGGUUAAUUGCAUAGAGCCGCUUUUCCACUGAAACUGAGGACAACUUUGGCUGUAGCACCGGAAUAUCAAUCAGGCUAAGACACAGGAUCCCACCUCUCUGCACAACCAGAGUCAGAGGAGAGUCAGAAACUUGGGGGGAAAAAAUUCCCUUUCAUAUGAAAUAUUUCUGAAGUUAGCAUCACUUUGCAGUCAGAGUAAACCAAUGUCAGGAAGCUCAAAAAUACAACAUAAAAAGAAUUGAUAAUACACAAAUCUCACUGGAACUGCAUCCAUAUCAAAGGCAAUGAUUACACAGGCAAAGCCUUGUCUGAUUGCAAUAGCAGCCAGAGAGAAGAUGAAAGAAUAAGUUUACCGUGUAAUUUCUACCUAUAGGCCUUUGAAAAAGCAACACAAGUGCUAUAGGGGGUAGAUUGCUCUCACCUUUAAGUGGUGUCACUGGCAUUAAGAAAUCAAAAGGAUAUCUUGGCGUCAUUCAGGUGGUAACAUCUUGUGUUAACUCCCACUGGGCUGCGAAACAUCAGCCAUGACUGACAUUUUAACAAGGAGAGAGAAAAGGUGGGUAGUUAGAGGUAGGUCGAAAAAUAGCUGGAUUGACUAAAAGUGCUAAAUCAAACUUUGGUUCUGCUGCCAUCGGCCUUUUAAACUCACAUCGUAUUAUUUCUUAACUGGACUGCUGACACUACUAAGGCUUUAGAUGUUCAAGAGAUGCUGGGUGGGUCAUGGGGGAUUUCUCUUUUAUCUUUUAUCAGUUUCAAGAAGGUCUGUAACUGUUUCAACAUGCUGGUUUCUCUCGUGCACAAAGUCAGGUCCAUGAAAGAAAAAAAAAAAAGACUUUCUGCGUCCGUGUGGUGGAAGAAACUUGACUGGCCUGCAGAGCGCCCUGACCUCCACUCCAUUCAGCACCACUGGGGUGAAUUGAAACCCUGACUGCGAGCCAGGCCUUAUUGUCCAACACCAGUGCCUGACCUCGCUAAUGCUUUUGUGGCUGAAUGAAAGCAAAUCCCUGCAGCCUGCAUCCAAAAAGUCUUGUGGAGAGCCUUCCCAGCAGAGUGGAGACUGAUAAUAGCAGCAGAUCGAUGCACACAGCUUUGGAAUAAGAUGCUUACCAAUUACAGAACAUAUGAGAGCAAUUUUAAUGCGUCCACAUACUUUCUAUAUAAUUCAUAUUUAUUUGAAAAAAAAGCAAAUGCAGCUGGUCUUACAGCAUUAUAUAAUCAGAAAAAGAAAAGCAGUGAUUCACAGCAACAAAAACACUAGAUAAGGUGUGAAAAAUGUGAUAUAACGAGAUGAUCUUGAAGCAAAUGUAUGCUGCAUUGUUUAGAACAUCACGAUUAUUUACCAAAGGCUUGUGCUGUAAAGAAAAAAAAGGGAUUUAAAACAAAGUACUGUUGCAGCACUAUUACAGAGAUAAAAUAAUAUGAUUUGAAGAGGUAGAUAGUCGUAGUAAAUGUGCCAAAAGCUGAUGUAGAAAGGUUCUCACAGCAUACAAAGGGAAAGUUGUUAGUGUUCAUUGGCCCAGCAGCUCUGCAGAAGCCCGAGGAUAAGCCUUAAGCCAGAGCACAGCAGAUAGCCAGGGGUGAGGUGAAAGCUCAGACAAUACGGUUAGGCUCUGAGGCAAGCAUUCUGCUGCAAAGGGAGACUACAGCAGAUAAUGUGUCACACAGUAGUAUGUUGGGUGUCGCAAACAACAGGACCCCUAUUCACACUGUCAGAGGCGGCUUCAUGGCAAGAAUGAGAGACAACGGAGGGAAGAGCUGGAGGGGGAAUGAGAAAGCAAAAGGGGAGGAAUGAAAAUCUCUUGAGUGGGAUCUUAAGAAUAGGUUAGUAAAGGUGUGAUGCUGCUGGCAUAGAGAAUAGAUCGAGAUUUCUUUCUGUCCCUGCCUCUGUAGGAAUUGAAAGGGCUAGCCGGAUAAUAUAAUUGGUUCCAGGAGCAGUGAAUGAUGCUGGGAGGGACUUAAACGUACCCCAAGAAACCUGACAGUACAUGCCGGAGAGAGAAAAGAAAAAAGGAAAACAAAAUAAAUGCAAGUUGACAGGCAAAAUGGGGGACAGUUAGGCUUAGUGUUAUUACCAUGACAAAGAGAAAAGAGCACAGUGUCUACUCCCUGCAUGGAGGGUGAAGAGGUUUAAGGACAGAGCAGCAGGAGAUGAGGAAGUGGCACACUGAGCUGUGUGUGUGUGUGCGUGUGGACGUAUCUGUGUGUUUGUCUCAGCCUGCGGGUGUGUGCAUGCUCUCUGUCGCUCUUCGUCUCUCCUUGUCAUAUGUUUGUAUGUAAUCAAGUCUCUUGCACAGGGUAGCACUUUGUCUACACUGAUAUUAAUACUCAGCAGCUAGAACAUAACCGGGUAGGCUCACAGAGGAUUUUCCGGACUUCUAACGACAGAAAUGAUUAAGUAUGUUUGUUAUAUGCUCACACGGGGCCCAAAGUGGUGUUACAGAUUGAAUCAGCUGCAAUAGAGACAACUAUCAAAGACUGAUAACUCCUUAGGGGCCCUUCAGGCAUGCAGGAGACUGAUUACUCCUCUGCAGGGCAAGAAGUGACAUCAUCCUUGGCUGGAAGCUGUUACGAAGAAGACUAGCAGAAUGCAUGCUUCGUGUAACAUCUCUGCAUGCCUCGCACACAACUCUUAGCAUUUGCAUGGAGAUCAGUUGGUGUAUCUCUGCGCAGUUGACGGUGCAGCUUUACAUCAGCCAACCACAUCAAACAGCAGAGGACGGGGUUAAUCUCUCCCCUCGGUAAUGCCAAGAGCUCUCUACAGAGAUGCAACUUUCCAGUCUGCAGGCAAUCCUCACAGCCAGAUCUAAUGACAUGGGCAGAUGAAGCCCUCACUUCACAUUUUCUCUAUAAAAUAUCCAAUGCUGCUUCAUUUAUUGAUAAAUAAUUGGAUGAAUCUGUAUCAAGUGAAGGGUUUAUUGCAAAAUUAGAUUUUCAUAGAGCAGAAUACACAAUUAUUAUAAAAGAUUGGUAAAAAUGAGCAGCAAGAGGAUCCUUUGUUUUGCAGUGUUUUAAGGGAUUUGGGAGCUUGAACUAUUUUCUCAAUUAUGGUUUAACUUUUUGUUGUAAUUCCCAAAGCUCUCCCUAUUAGCGUUGCAUAAUAUCAUUGGCACAACACCUGUAUGACAGAUAUGAAAAUCUCUGCUGGUGUUUAUUGGAGAUGAGUAAGACAAUGCACUGAUCAUGUGCAUCAAAUGACAGCCUUCAAAGUGUUGAAAACAGACAGCAAAAAAAGCCAUUUGCAGGGUUUGUUAAGUAUGAGAGGAGGAGCAAAACCACACAUUGUUAUUUUUGAAGUACCAAGAUUUUGCAAAGAAAAAAUAGAGAAGUAUCAGAGCAACCAAAAACUUGGCAGCAUCUAUUAUAGUAAUUUAGCUAAGAAAUAGUCUUAACAACCACACAAGGAUAAAGGAGCCUCACAAGAAAAUCAAUGAAUUAUCUGAUCUCAAUAACCAGCCUCUGAGCAUGGGGGAGGAAGCAGGUAUCCACAGGCUAAUGUUGCACUUAGAUUGAUAUCUGUAAAAUGAGUUUGAAAAUAUUUGCAUAUUGAAUAAUUGCAAAAUUCCAAUAAUUUACAUCUCUAAUAUCUGUUAAGCCUGUUGCAAUCCAUCUGUAUGAGCUAAGACUGUCUCUUUAGGGGUCUGAAAUAUUGACAUCAGGCUAAAAAUAAGCCUAAAGUAAAACUGUGUAAGUGGUUUAUAUGAGGCAGUAUUGGUUCUUUAUGAUGAAGAGGAACAGCAGCUGCAGGCUCACUAGCUGUAGCAGUCCUCUGUAAGAUGGUGAGACACUUUUAAAAUUAAUGCUUUAAGAUUUAAUCUUUAAUCUAAGGGAAUUAGCAUAUGCUUCAUUUUGAAAAUAGCACAUUUUUUUGCAAUACAAGAAAUAAAACACGUUGAACUCUUGACAGAAAAAUGUCACCAUAAAGCAGCACAGACUAUUGUUUUGAGCAGUGUUGAUUUGAUUUAUUUAAAUGAUGAAGACAAGAGUAUGACAAGUUUAAGUACAUCAUUAAUUUAAAAAAUAAUAAUUAAAAAUAAUGAUUAAAAAACAGGUUCACAACAAGCUACUAGGGUGACAUAAUUUUGCAGGAUUUUUUGGUUUGCCAUGCAUCCAAAUCCUCGUUUUUUUCCUAGUUUGGAGAUACUUUAGGAGGCAAAUUUAAUGACAUAUUUCUUCGCAAUGAUAAACUUAAAACCAUUGAGGAUGGAGAUGCAACUGAGAGAACAGUGAACUGAGCGUCUGUCCAUGAGUAUUUCUUGGACUUAAACAAUAAAUAGAUACAUAAUGACCAAAGAGAGAGAGACGGUUUGACCUGGAGUAAGGAUCAAUCUUUUUUUUAGUACCUCAGUAGAUCAGCAGGGACAGCAACAGCAGCACUACACUGGAGGGAGAGUCUGAACUAAAUCUCCUACUGAGGCGAGGAAUCUAGAUCUUACACAAGUGUUAGGAGAUUAAAACACUUCAGGUUUAGACACCAGUAAAACCUUUAUACCAAUUUAUGAUUGACUGAGUUAAAUGUUUCGACUUUUCUUCGACUAAGGCAAAAACGACUAAAUAAGACCAAGUAUAAACAAAGACCUCUGAAUAUCACUAGCUUGUUAUUUUUACAGCAUUUGUUUGCCCACUUCUGCUCUGGAGGAGUGCACAUAGUUACCUUUCAGCAGCAUACAGCACAUAACAUGAAGGUCAAUCUCUACAUGAAUAGACCAGUGUGGGUUUUCACAGUAAAAACAAGCUUCUUCCUGCAAGGUUCAUGAAGUAGGUAGUGUGAAUGCAUGUAUGUAGGCGCAAAUGUUUCUGUUAAGAUAACCACCCACAGUAGUGUUGAUUGUUACACUAAUUUAAAACACACACACACACACACACACACACACACACACACACAGACACAUACACACAAAGAGAGAAAACCUGGAUUACUCACUGCUCCGAGCAUUCAUGGAUCCGCCCAUCUCAUUUCCAUAGAUGCUUUGGGAAAACAGGGAAUGUGGUGAGGAGAGCGAGAAGACCUGCAUUAGGGAAAACAGGGAAUAUAUAAAUGAUUAAAUCAAAGAAGAACAAAAUAAGCUUGUUAAAUAUGAAUUUUAAAAUAUUGUUGUGGUGUAAAAGAAUUGAUCAUUUAAAUGUGGGUCAAAGAAAAAAUUAAAGUUUAAUGUGUUCAUUUUUCACUGCGUUUGAAUUUCUAACAAUAAUAUUUUCUUAAUAUAGCUCAGACUUGUCUCUCAACUCCUCCUACUUUCAGAGUAUUCACAGCCACGGAGAGAGCUCUAGGAUUUGGUCAAAUUAAAUCAAAAUUCAGAAAUUCAUACUAAAUCCUAACUGGAGACCGGCCUCUUGUGUACGGCCUAUCUUCUCCCUUGGUUAUCUAUUAUGUUUAAUAAUGUACUGCAUUUUCGAAACUUGCACGCCCCAUCUGUUAGAGCCCUGCAGACCCUCAUCAAAAUAUUAUGUUUAAAAAAAUUUCACAAUCUCACAGUUAUCUUCAGCUGGGACUUAAACAGGCGGAUAAUUCAUUUGGUCAAUUUCUGGACCCAAUUAUCUGAUUAAGUAUCAUGUUUUCCUGUCUGACACUAUUGACUGCACUAUAUAGAAUCAGACCCCCCAACAUGCGUAUUUUCUCUCACUGGCACAUGGUUAUUUCCUUCUUGUUUGUUUUCUUGCACUGGGAAUUAGGAGAAGCAGCAGGACCUACCACAACAUAUUGCCCCAGACAGGCGGGUUAUGUUUUUCUAACCUUUUGUUUUUGUUAAGCACUAUACAGUGUGACAAAGUUCACUCCUCAGCUCUAGAAAUCCACUGCCAGACACCCACAAAAUCUAAAUCAGCUGCAUCGCAGUUUUAGUUUCACAACACUUUCCAGGUUUACUUUUUUUAAAUUGACCUAUCAGCAUUUAUAUAAUUUUAAACAAUAAACCGAGCACCUGGGGCUGUUUCUGCAUUGAUUAUAUAGUUGACACCAAGAGUUACCAGACACCUAUUAAAAAAAUUAGCUAACUGUGAAGGCGACAUGUGGUGACAACAUGCUGCGAUGUAGACUUUUACAUAAGCUUCGCACUCAUAGCGGUUAAACAGACCACCACAGUUGUGUUAACAAGAGGACCUGACACUAAUAUCAGUCAAUUGGACAGUGUUUUUCUGUUACUCCAUCAUGCUCCUGCUUCUUGAGGCUGAAGUGAACUCUUCGACUUGCUAAACAAUCAUAAGUGGCGUUGUGCACAUUGCUGUUGAAUAUCCCCCUCACAGUUUACAAUGCUGACGGCUGUAUUUCUCAGUGGCCAAAUGUUUAUCCAAACACAGAACGAUAGGAGCGACAAAGUGGAGGCCGUGAACUGACAAAUAAGUUCUGUCAUUACCAGCGUGACACAUAACACAGCAGCAGCAGCAGCGCGGCGUGAUAUGAUUUAUACAACAGCAAGACAUUUAAAAACGUGAGCAGAGGAAGGAUAGGGUUCCUAAAACACCAGUGUCAAAAGACAUUUCAAUCAUGAUUAUAGAGUUUUGUCAGCGCGGUUAAAACUCCAAGUUUUUAAUAACUCCGGCUCGUAAAAACAUCAACCACGAGAAACUGAAAUACCAAAUAAAAUUAAAAAACAAAUCUAAAAAUCUAUUUUCAUUUUCAAUCUAAAUUUUUCCAAUUUUUUUGUGAAAAAAAAAAAAAAAACUAAGGUAGUCAUAAUCCAGCUUUUCCUUAUUUUGAUUUUAAAAAAUAUAUAAAAGCAAACACUAAGUAUACAAAAUAUAAAAACAGAUUAAACCAAAUAUCACAGUUUUUUUAACAUGACACUUUUACAUGACAUGAGAAAUAUUGGACAUAGUGAUCUGAAUUUAAAAUUUGAAUUUUAGGGAAUAAUUUUUUUUACUAAAAUAUAUUUUUAAAAAACUGAUUAAAAUCUAUUGUCUGUAUAUGUACCCACCAUCACUAUUAUUGUGUUUUUGUUUUGUUUUAUUUUGUUUGUAUGUUAUAUAAAAUAUUAAAUAAAAAAAAAAAAAAAAAAAAAAAAUCUACAACUUUCAAAAAUGCCUUUUAGGACUUCAAAAAAUAUCAAAUGUAAGAAUAUCAAUAAUAUUCAUCCUCAUUUGAUGCAAUAAACUCGAAAGGAAAGCAACUAAAACCUCUGAAAUGAUUUUGAAAAUGAAUCAACACAUCAAUAAAAAAGCCUCAUAACACGUAAGUGUUAGAUGUAACCUUCAUGGUGGUGGAUUUUUUAUUUUUAAUUAAACUGCUACUGACUCUUUAUCAAUUCUUCUUCUUUAUUAAAAAAUAAUUACAUAAUUUUUAUUUUAUUUUUAUCCCUUUAUAUAUUUUUUUAAUAUUUUGAGUGAAGAUAAAUGUUGUGUCACUAGUCUUCUUUGCAAAUUUGGAAAUGUUCACAUUCAUUUUCAUUAGAAUACAACAGCUGUCAAUAUGACCGUUUUAUUAUUUUGGAUUGUGUAACACGUGCGAGCCUCAGUAGAUGUUCAACUACUAAAUUUUUUAAAAGAGGCUUGGUUAAAAAAAAAGAAAAGCUGUCACGGAGGCAAGAACUAAAGGUUAUUUUGUCUAUUUUUGGUGGGCUUUAUUUAUAACAUAAAUGUUAACAGGGAAGCCAGCUCAAAGAAAAAAAUUAACACUGCUCUCAGUUUUUUUACCCUCAUCAAGCAAAGGUUAACCUUCAUCUGUGGCUGAAAGGAGGUUACAGCAGAAAUAUGCACCAUCACUAAUUAUUCAAGCACUGACUAUUAGAUUAAGUUGGGAAUUAUAAAACGUAAAAAUGUGACAUUGGGGGUGAAAAAAAAGUUUGACAUUGUUUUGGUUCGCCUGUCAGUUUGGAUUAGGUGUGAUCUGUGCUCGGUGUCUAACUUUGAACACGAGCAGGGAAGCAGCUUGUAACCCUGAGUGACAGGGAGCAGCCUCACUGCUGCCCAAAUGAAGGCAGCAGGGAAAGAAAAAAACACAGAUCUGUCUUAUGAAAGCUUUCCUAAAUUUAGUUGUAACAGCCAACCUUCACCUUGGAAUCAGUCUAAUAUAGUCAAGCUGACGCAAUCCUCUGACCACCACCUGCAUGGGAAGUUCUUCUUGGUGCAGCUUCUGCAUUUGAUUCCAGGGGGGAGAGAGACUUCACUUGCCCUGCCAGUUUUUAAUGUCAUUUUACAGCCAAAUGGCAGCCAGACAGAAACAGUGACAGCAUCAGUAGCAGCAGUAGUUUUAAGACUAAAACAAAAAUAAGUGCUUAACACUGCACCCGCCAUUUAUUGAGUUAUAUAUUUACACUCCUGCUGCACUGUUAAAACGAAGCAGCAUGACUUUAUAUUUCUGACCAUGCAGAAGUAAGAGUGUUUUUUUUUUUCUAAAUGUUCCCUCUUGAGAAGAAAAGACACUCUCUUUUUAUGCUAGGUUUCUUAGUAUUGUUGCCAAUGAAUGGGAUUUCCAUGGAGUCCAAGGUUUCUUGUAUUUGAUUCUCUGGCCCUGUGCCAACCUCAGGAUGACAGGAAGUAGGAAAAAAAUGAAAGCAAUGCGUACACGUCAGAGGCUUUACUUUAGCUAACAAAAGAGUGAAGGCGUUUUCACACACGCAGCCUUGUUGUACAAAUACUCACUGCAAAGAGUUGCUACAAAGAGAGAUUGUUUAAAAAGAUUGAGUUCACAUCAUUUCUGUGUUAUUCCCUUUGUUAUAGAGUGCAUACAUUUAAAUAUACAUAUAUUUCACCUAGAAUCAGUGCACUCCACGCUUUAUUCAGAUAGUGUUCAAUACAAUAAGAGAUAUGUCGAGCAUCAAUACUUAUCUAUGACUGUGCACUACGAUGUCUUCACCAAGCCCCCACUUAGCUUUCAUUCAGACCUACACAACAGAUACCUGAACCUACAUUCAGACCUACACAACGGAUACUUGAACGACUGCACAUUUUAUGACAGACUCUAUUCAUAACUUAUCCCAAUCUUCAAAGUAGCAACACAAAGAAUAAAAGAUUUAUGUUGAAUAAACUGUAUAUGAUAUUUCCCAUCAUGACUGGUUUGAUACUUUGUGCAUAUUGGAAACUCAUUAAAGGACCUGUUUGGUGCAGAACCUUGUUUGAUUUUUAUGUUUGAUUUUAUGGAAAAUGUGCUCAAGAGAUGCAGAGUUUUGCAAAUCCUGUAACAGGAUGUCAGAAAAUGAGAUGCUACUUGGCAGAAGAUUCUCUACUUUUUACUUGUAUUAUAGGCGAAUUAGAUACGCCGCAAGCUUCUUUUCCCCCCCUAUGGAAAUGACCCGCAUAGCGUAAUUUAGGAAACAUGCAGAGGACGGCAUAAAUGCUCCUCCUCCUCUCAUAAUCCCUCCUGCUGAAGAUUUCCAGCACAGACUGAGCAAACUGUCUCAAUCAUCCACAGCAACGAGGUUUCUAUCCAGAGCUGCAGUGGCUGUGUUGUUCAUUGUUUUAUGGAGGUUUACUUUAAUCUACUGAAGAGGACGUUUUAGUUGGUCAGCUGUAAUAAGUCUGGCUUUGUAAACUUUUAUUUCUGGUACCAGCGAAUUCGGGGCGUACAAGUCUCCUCAUGAGAUAUAUUACCUCUUUUAUUAACUCCAAUUUCACCUGUCUGUCAUCAUCCCACAAGGAGGCAGUUUUGAUUUAAAGAAGAAAAGCAGUGAAUAGAGGGAACAGAUAUGACACUAAGCAUAGCUCAUUAUUGUGUGACUCCCUAUUCAGCAGGAGAUAAAUCCAGCAGGGUGGGUGCUCAGGCUAAUAACUAUUUCAAGUCCCAAUAAAGCCCAAACAUCUGAUAUGACUUAGGGAGGCUGAUAGAGGCUUGGCGAGAGAGCUCGUACAAAAUGUUGGAACCAUUUUUGUCGGAGCCAUCCUGCUAAAUCCCUGCAGACAUUCAUAAUCACCUUCCCUUGCUUUAUUUAUUUAUGUCUUAUUAAUGUUUGCGGAUGGCACAAAUGCCAAAUCAUUCACUCGGCAGGCAGUGAUUUACUGUAUGUAAAUAUGGCGAGGGACGCUUUUCGCUGCUCUGCCAACAUCUUCAUCAAUCACAGCUUUUAUUACCUGAAUUCGAUAAUAGCGUUAAUGUGGGAAUGUUUUGCUUUUUGGCAUUUUUCCACAACAUUUGGCCACUCUGCCUGUUCCUUUAAAGCAAAUAAACAUGUGUUCCCCAAGUUUACUAAUUACAACAAUUGCUUAAUUUGGACUGGUUUAACUUUGAAUGUAACAGACUUUUUUCCUCAUUGGAAAGUACUCCAAACGCUAGAUUCGAGUAAAUACUUUGCACAUGUUGAACAAUACAGGCCAGUGAUUUACAACUAUACAAAAUCUCCUUUGACAACAGUCUUUGUUAGAUCAUUUUUUACACUUGCAAAAUAUCCUGGUCUAUAAAUUAGCUUUCAAUAUUUCCAGGAUGCUGUAGAAACACAUCUGGCGCCUAGCUGUUUAGUCAAUUUGGUGAAAUUUAGAGGGACUUUUCACGAAUUGAAGAUUUCUUUUCCUUCAGCUUUGCAGACAAAGAAACACAAAUGUCUGUUUCACAAUCUGAUAUUUAGAGAAAGAUUGGAACAUAAGUCCUUGAGAGUAUUUGGUACACAUCCACAAACAGAUGAUUGCCUUCACCUUCUUGAGUGCUAAAUUUAGGAAAGCUAAACAUCACAUCUGUCAAAAACACAACCUCCACCAACCGUGCCACAUGCUCCUCCUUUGUCCUUCUGCAAGUCUAUGAAUCUCACAGACAGGGUCCUUAUUUGAGCCACAGGUACUCUGCAACAGGGCACACUUGUCUCAGUGGGAGGCGGCACACACACAUUAGCAGCCCUAAUCCUCUUAUUUCCCUUCUCCUUUUAAAAAUUUGUCUUUCCUCUCGACCUCAUCAGAGGAGGUAGUAUUUCUAUACAACAUGCCGUCUGGCAGCUGCUGCAAGCUCUCACUUCAUUUUGCGGGGGCUCAGUGAACCUCAAGGUCCAGAGAAACACAAAUAACACAUGCUCCUGAAAAUAUAGAAUAUCCUUUUCCAUGUGUCUGUACUAUAGGCUGACUCACACACAAGAAGAAAAAAUUCUGGCAGAGGGCGAAUGCUUUGAAGGUUUUAGUCAUACCCAAAUGUGCUCCUUUUCUUCUCAUGCGCCUCUUCAAGGUUUUCUCUCCCGUGCGUCUGGAUCGUAGAUGCUCGGAGAGGAUCUGCUACAAAGAGAAUCGCAGAUCAACUUGACAGAAGAUGAAUUCAGCCAAGCACAAAGAGACUUGACAACGUUGCCUGCACCUCAACAUGAGUAAGAAGCACAUUUCAUUUAGCAUCCAUCGUGCACAGGAGAAAUCAAAUACAACUAUUUGUAAAUUCCCUUGUUGUUUUUUUGAUAUCUCUAAAAAAAAAAGCAGAAUCAUGCUUUUCACAAUUACAGCACACCUAUGUUAGGCACAAAAAUGGUUAUGGGAAACAUUAUAUGAACUGUGUUACACCACCUAUGAAAGUGAAUGGCUUCUACAGACAGAGAGUCACAGACACAUGGCUGCAGUUUGCAGUACAAAAGCAGAGCAGACGAGCUCCACAGAAUCGAGCAACACUGAGGGUGCUGCUGGGAUUGUCCUUGCCAGGCAUGAUUGUUCCACUAACUCAUAACCAGAAACCCCUCCUGUGCUUUUCAUUCAAUGGACAACCCUCUUGCUAGCAGUUUGAGGAAGCUCAGGGAGCAACAAAAGCAGCCUCUUAAUGGCAGAGAUCGAGAGUGGCUAGCAGGAAUCGAGCAAGUGAAAGAGUCAACCACGAAUAACCAAAUACCGACACAGUGGGGCUUUCACAUACAGAGCCCGUGUGAUGAUAGGGCUUAAAAUGUCUGUGUGAUUAUAUUUUUGCCUUCUCCAAACACAGCUGUGUCAGUUUCUGCAAAUAAGAUGACGUUUGGAAGGAAAAAAUAUCUAUUUUUGCCGCUUGGUGUUUGUUUACAGGGAAGGAACACAGCCUGGACAGCUUUCGCUCUGCUCCAACAUUCCUGAAAAAUAUCCUCAAUUCAAGCUGAAAAUGGAUUUCCUUGUGCUCUGCCUUUACAAAAUCCCUAAAGUGUGGAAAAAAAGCAGGGUUAAUAUUGGAUAUUGAGACAUAUUCUAAUUUAAUUGACGGCUAAACUAUAGUAAAUGAAAAGUAAAUACAGCAUUAGGGUUGAAAUUAUUCCAUGACCAUGUGUAUGGAUGUGAUUAGACCAUUAGCUCGGUGUAGCUGUAACACUCUCAUUCUCUCCAAUCAGGUGCAGGGAGCGUUAACACUGAGCAGAUGUUCCUGUUAGCUCAAACCCCACAUGUGCAAACUCUUUCUGAAUGAAAUGUGCAAUCCAGCAGCCAGACAACAGGUAUGAUGAUUAAUGAGUGUUGGGAUUUAUUUUCUCACUCGCUCAUAUUUUGCAGAAUUACUGAAAUUAGUUUACCAUGUUUAGACAAAACGGCAGGAAAAAAAUGGGAUUAAGUUAUACUGACAUUACAUAUACAAGGUAGUUAUAUAUGCACAUUUUAUUUCUUUCUUUAUUUUUUUGUAAAGGAAAAUGGAGGAAAUUCUGUAAAAUACAGACAUAUAUAAGGAGUAUACAACACACUCUAUAGAAAAAUAAAUGUUCACACAAAUAAUGUCCAAAAGGAAAUCUUUUCAACUACUUCUUACUUCUUCAUUUCAAGGGCAAUAAUGUACUCUUUACCCUUUAGCAUUUAUUCACUUUUGCUACACGUAUAUUAUGUAUAUUUUAUAAUAUACAUAAUAUAUGCCGCAUUGAAAGUAGCUACAAUUACGCUAUGCGCCACUUUAAUGGUGCCUACAGAUUUAUGCAUCAAGGACUUCAAUGCAAUCAAGUCAUUCAUAUUAAUCUGAAAGGUGAUGUUGUAUGCAUGGUGUAAGUAUAUAUAUAUAUAUAUAUAUAUAUAUUUUAAAUCUGGGGUACUUGAAGUGCAUUUUCCUGCUUAAACACAGUAUUUUUACUCUAGUUUAAUAUCAAACGCAGGACUCUGACUUCAAAAAACAGUAUUUUGACACAGUUCCUUUUUUUCCUUUUUGAUCUUUUCAGAUAUAAAACUGCGGUCUUAACUUUAAUGUCUGACUGGCUUGGAGAACUACAGUCAUAAAGAAUGAAGCCACACACACACACACACACACACACACACACACACACACACACACACACACACACACACACACACACACACACACACAAACCAGUUUAUGCAACUGCCAUUACAACUUACAAAUUACAGUGUGUGGGAUAGGAUGUCACAUUUCACUCCCUGUCUUUAAGGAAAUAGUAAAAUCACUCUCUCUGUAUUUGCUUUAGAGAAGGUUCAUUUUUAAACCUCUCUGUGAAACAAACAAGACAAACAUAAGCCGUCAGUUGUAGAUUGUUAGAUUAGAUAGAGGUCUCAAAUAAACCAGGAGAUACUGGCAGACAAAUAAAAAAUAAUGCAACCAUCAGUUGUUCAGCAAUAACUAAAACUGAAACAAGCUACACACUGGAAACGUCUAUCCAUCUCUAUGCAUCACCACAUUUCACAGCAAAAGACCGUCAACCCCUGUUACAGGAGAGCUGCUGUAAAGGGAGUCUGGUCUGCAGCAAGCUGGGAGUACUUAAUAAAAUAGCCGCCGUGUGAGGGAAAUCUAGGCCAGAGCAGUGUUUCUGUUGACAACAAUUUACCCCCACCAUGCACUGUGAGGGGCUCCUUGGAAGAGCAGGAACAAUAUCCUGUUCCACCUUAUAAAAACAGUUGUGGAAAAUUAGCAUCCUUGCUGUCUUCUCGGAGCGUCAGCCUGUAGAAAUGCUGCAGUCAAUGAAAUCAAUUUCCCCUCUGUCAAGCUUUAAUCACACACAUAAACUUUUUAACAAAAUCUGCAAACUCGAAUGAAUUAUUCCCCUCAGAAGCUCUUCACACCCUCUCACCUCCAUUUUCUCGUCUUUUGUUUCCUCUCCUUGUCUUGCUUUUCUCUCUCCCUCAUAUCCACUUCAGGCUUUGCUGCAACUCUGUUAACUUGCUUGAAACCGUUCCCAAAACCAACCAAAAGAAAAUGUGGUCUUGAUUUGUCUUUUUUUUCCCCCCUUCUCCACAGGAAAUAACAGAAAAACGGAACAAGGAGAUACCUAGUGAACUGAAGACAUUACCAGGAAAAUGAAGGGGCUAUUUCACAGACAUGGAUUAAACUAAUCCUGGUCUAAUACAGUGAAAAGGAGAACUUUGGCUGUCUGUCUGAAACCAAUCCCUAAAUCUCAUUGAAUUUAACAUGUCUGAUAUUUCUGCUUUUUUCUCAGCCGUAUUACACAAUAUGAGAGACCGAUCAACGCAACUGCUUUAUCUACAGCCUCCGUGUGGAUUUUGCAUGAUAUGUUUACAAGUGUUAUGAAGAGCAAGAUCCCAGAUAAACAAUAAACUCAGUCUGCUUGAAUUAAGUGCGCAUUCAGUUUGAACUUUCCACAAAAUCCAAUCAAAGAACUCCUCUUCCCUGUCUGUUUUCCCCUCUCUCACUCCUUUCAUUAGCUUAAUAUAUUAAUCUAUUCCCUUUUAUCCAUUUUAGAUUAUAUCAGACCUUUCUGUUCCACUGCAGUAGCCGCCUCU
rnacentral:lncRNA from 1 species